rnacentral:rRNA from 1 species
GACGAACGCUGGCGGCGUGCCUAAUACAUGCAAGUUGAGCGAUGAAGAUUGGUGCUUGCACCAAUUUGAAGAGCAGCGAACGGGUGAGUAACGCGUGGGGAAUCUGCCUUUGAGCGGGGGACAACAUUUGGAAACGAAUGCUAAUACCGCAUAACAACUUUAAACAUAAGUUUUAAGUUUGAAAGAUGCAAUUGCAUCACUCAAAGAUGAUCCCGCGUUGUAUUAGCUAGUUGGUGAGGUAAAGGCUCACCAAGGCGAUGAUACAUAGCCGACCUGAGAGGGUGAUCGGCCACAUUGGGACUGAGACACGGCCCAAACUCCUACGGGAGGCAGCAGUAGGGAAUCUUCGGCAAUGGACGAAAGUCUGACCGAGCAACGCCGCGUGAGUGAAGAAGGUUUUCGGAUCGUAAAACUCUGUUGGUAGAGGAGAACGUUGGUGAGAGUGGAAAGCUCAUCAAGUGACGGUAACUACCCAGAAAGGGACGGCUAACUACGUG